rnacentral:lncRNA from 1 species
AGGGCGAAAAGAAAACACCACACUUUCCAAAGCACUGAGACCCCAGGCAGGCUUCAAGGUAAAUAUGGAGUAAAUAAAUAGUGCAUGAUCUGAACCCAUAUCCACAGCCACAGUUUGUUGCUCAUCCAGUGAAAUAAUAAACACAAGGUGAACUUUUUUUCAGCUUGCAAACUGUGUCACCUCUGGUGCAUUUCUGACGUGACUAUUUUUUUUUUCUUUGUGGCCAUUUUGCAAUUUUCUCUGGGUUUGUUUUGAUUGUAAAUAGGCACACACAUUAGCUAAAGCCAGAUAAUUUUAUCCUGGCCAGCUUUGCCAGUAAAUCACUGAGCUAUGUAAUUGGGUUUGUAUAAAAUUAUGCACUGCAAACUUGGGAAUAAGUAAAACAGAGACAAAAAGUUGAUUUUUGUAAAUAGUACCAUUUUUUAUUUUUUGAUAUUCAAAACUUCUGUUGGACUCCAUUUUUCUAUUCCCUAUCAUAACCAUUCUUUAAAUGUCGAAUGAAAAUCCAGCUACAGGAUAAAUUCAAGCAGAACUGGUAAUAAUUUCUGGUUUGGCUUGUAGGUGGAGUUGAAUGCAGUGGUUAACUACCAGCAAUAUGUUCUGAAGAUGAUGGUGUUCAGACAAAUACCCAAUUUGAUUCUGAUAAAUUGGAUGCAAGACUUUGACCAGCAUGAGAAGAACAGGUAUGGCAAACAAAUUUACAAAUGUGGAUAAAACCACAACUGAAAUCCUCACGUGCGUCGUUGCGUCAACACAACUCAAUCUGACAGCGCGCUCUUGCCAGGUGGAACAAAGAGCAA